CAAGUAGGGCGGGACACGUGAAAUCCUGUCUGAAGAUGGGGGGACCAUCCUCCAAGGCUAAAUACUCGUGAUCGACCGAUAGUGAACCAGUACCGUGAGGGAAAGGCGAAAAGAACCCCGGGAGGGGAGUGAAAUAGAUCCUGAAACCGCAUGCAUACAAACAGUCGGAGCCUCGCAAGGGGUGACGGCGUACCUUUUGUAUAAUGGGUCAGCGACUUACAUUCAGUGGCAAGCUUAACCGAUUAGGGCAGGCGUAGCGAAAGCGAGUCCGAACAGGGCGUUCAGUCGCUGGGUGUAGACCCGAAACCAGGUGAUCUAUCCAUGGCCAGGAUGAAGGUGCGGUAACACGUACUGGAGGUCCGAACCCACUAACGUUGAAAAGUUAGGGGAUGAGCUGUGGAUAGGGGUGAAAGGCUAAACAAACCUGGAAAUAGCUGGUUCUCUCCGAAAACUAUUUAGGUAGUGCCUCGUGUAUCACCUUCGGGGGUAGAGCACUGUCAUGGUUGUGGGGUCCAUUGCGGAUUACUACGCCAUAGCAAACUCCGAAUACCGAAGAGUGCAAUCACGGGAGACAGACAUCGGGUGCUAACGUCCGGUGUCAAGAGGGAAACAACCCAGACCGCCAGCUAAGGUCCCCAAAUAUUGCUAAGUGGGAAACGAAGUGGGAAGGCUAAAACAGUCAGGAGGUUGGCUUAGAAGCAGCCAUCCUUUAAAGAAAGCGUAAUAGCUCACUGAUCGAGUCGUCCUGCGCGGAAGAUGUAACGGGGCUAAGCAAUAUACCGAAGCUGCGGAUGCACAUUUAUGUGCAUGGUAGGAGAGCGUUCCGUAAGCCUGCGAAGGUGCAUUGAAAAGUGCGCUGGAGGUAUCGGAAGUGCGAAUGCUGACAUGAGUAGCGAUAAAGGGGGUGAAAGGCCCCCUCGCCGUAAGCCCAAGGUUUCCUACGCAACGUUCAUCGGCGUAGGGUGAGUCGGCCCCUAAGGCGAGGCAGAAAUGCGUAGCUGAUGGGAAGCAGGUUAAUAUUCCUGCACCAUUGUUAAAUGCGAUGGGGGGACGGAUCGCGGAAGGUUGUCCGGGUGUUGGAAGUCCCGGUCCUUGCAUUGGAGAAGGCGCUUAGGCAAAUCCGGGCGC
rnacentral:rRNA from 1 species